rnacentral:lncRNA from 1 species
CACAGGUUGUUUGUCCUCCUCCUGCCAACUUCUCCUUGGAACAGGUUGUUUGACCUCCUCCUGCCAACUUCUCCUUGGAACAGGUUGUUUGUCCUCCUCCUGUCAACUUCUCCUUGGAACAGGUUGUUUGUCCUCCUCCUGCCAACUUCUCCUUGGAACAGGUUGUGUGUCCUCCUCCUGUCAACUUUACCUUGGAACAGGUUGUUUGUCCUCCUCCUGUUAACUUCUCAUUGGAACAGGUUGUUUGUCCUCCUCCUGUUAACUUCUCCUUGGAACAGGUUGUUUGUCCUCCUCCUGCCAACUUCUCCUUGGAACAGGUUGUUUGUCCUCCUCCUGUUAACUUCUCCUUGGAAACAGGUUGUUUGUCCUCCUCCUGCCAACUUCUCCUUGGAACAGGUUGUUUGUCCUCCUCCUGUCAACUUUACCUUGGAACAGGUUGUUUGUCCUCCUCCUGCCAACUUCUCCUUGGAACAGGUUGUUUGUCCUCCUCCUGCCAACUUCUCCUUGGAACAGGUUGUUUGUCCUCCUCCUGUCAACUUUACCUUGGAACAGGUUGUUUGUCCUCCUCCUGCCAACUUCUCCUUGGAACAGGUUGUUUGUCCUCCUCCUGCCAACUUCUCCUUGGAACAGGUUGUUUGUCCUCCUCCUGUUAACUUCUCCUUGGAACAGGUUGUUUGUCCUCCUCCUGUUAACUUCUCCUUGGAACAGGUUGUUUGUCCUCCUCUGCCAACUUCUCCUUGGAACAGGUUGUUUGUCCUCCUCCUGUUAACUUCUCCUUGGAACAGGUUGUUUGUCCUCCUCCUGCCAACUUCUCCUUGGAACAGGUUGUUUGUCCUCCUCCUGUCAACUUUACCUUGGAACAGGUUGUUUGUCCUCCUCCUGCCAACUUCUCCUUGGAACAGGUUGUUUGUCCUCCUCCUGCCAACUUCUCCUUGGAACAGGUUGUUUGUCCUCCUCCUGUCAACUUUACCUUGGAACAGGUUGUUUGUCCUCCUCCUGCCAACUUCUCCUUGGAACAGGUUGUUUGUCCUCCUCCUGCCAACUUCUCCUUGGAACAGGUUGUUUGUCCUCCUCCUGCCAACUUCUCCUUGGAACAGGUUGUUUGUCAAAUAUAAAUAG